GAUGAACGCUGGCGGCGUGCCUAAUACAUGCAAGUCGAGCGAACGGACGAGAAGCUUGCUUCUCUGAUGUUAGCGGCGGACGGGUGAGUAACACGUGGAUAACCUACCUAUAAGACUGGGAUAACUUCGGGAAACCGUAGCUAAUACCGGAUAAUAUUUUGAACCGCAUGGUUCAAAAGUGAAAGACGGUCAUGCUGUCACUUAUAGAUGGAUCCGCGCUGCAUUAGCUAGUUGGUAAGGUAACGGCUUACCAAGGCAACGAUGCAUAGCCGACCUGAGAGGGUGAUCGGCCACACUGGAACUGAGACACGGUCCAGACUCCUACGGGAGGCAGCAGUAGGGAAUCUUCCGCAAAGGGCGAAAGCCUGACGGAGCAACGCCGCGUGAGUGAUGAAGGUCUUCGGAUCGUAAAACUCUGUUAUUAGGGAAGAACAUAUGUGUAAGUAACUGUGCACAUCUUGACGGUACCUAAUCAGAAAGCCACGGCUAACUACGUG
rnacentral:rRNA from 1 species